rnacentral:rRNA from 1 species
UACAGAGGUGGCAAGCGUUGUUCGGAAUUACUGGGCGUAAAGGGCGCGUAGGCGGUUCGUUAAGUCCUGUGUGAAAUCCCCCGGCUCAACUGGGGAACUGCACAGGAAACUAGCGGGCUUGAGUUCGGGAGAGGGAAGCGGAAUUCCGGGUGUAGCGGUGAAAUGCGUAGAUAUCUGGAGGAACACCGGUGGCGAAGGCGGGUCUCUGGGACGGUACUGACGCUGAGACGCGAAAGCGUGGGGAGCGAACAGG